CCUGGUGACAUAGAAUGUUCUGCCGUGGGGCCUCUGCCCUGCCCCCACCCCAUGAGCACCAUGACCUUCCCCAGCCCCUCCCCACUUUAAAUGUACUCUGAGUUUGCUCCCAGCCCCAGUCAAUCAAACCUCUGUCAUCUGCACUUCCUGCCUCUGCCCAGUGGCUGGGGGAGGGGACCAGAGGGAAAGAAACAUUUUGUAUCCUGCUGUAACAUUGUGGGAGCUGGGGGGCCACCAUGAUUCAGGUAGAGGGGGUGCUUUUACAAAAAGCCCUGCCUCAGAAAAUAUCUCCACCCAGCUCAGGAAACACAGCUCCUGGAUGGGGAGUGGCUGGGAGGUGUCUCUGGAGCUGGUCCCUGGGUCCCAGACAGCUUUCCAGGAACGUGAAGGGCCAAUGCAUCAAAAUGGGAUCAUCAUGACCAUUUUUGCAGUGAUUAAAAAAAAAGGGGGGGGAUCAUCAUCCAGCAUUUUUCAUAAAAACUUGCCCUUGACAAAAGUACUUACACAUGCGUUUAUUUAUUAAGAACUCACAACAACACUGUGUAAAACCUACCACCCCACUUUUCAGAUGAAGGAAAUAAGGCCAGAGAGGUUGCAGGUCCUGUAAGUAGUAAGAGACAGGGUCUAGCCUGGAACAACCCCCAACUCCAGCCCAAACCCCCAUCACCAAUCCCCGUUCAUUUUCCACCUCCACUGUAUUGUCCCCAAGCCAGGUUGAUUCUCCUCCGCAAACUGGAGAUGAUCUCCCGUGGCAUGGACAUUACUAUGUCCAGCUAGCCCUGGAGGGGGGAUGAGAGAAGCCCAGGAAGGAGGAGAGUGCACCCCCAGCUUGUGUCAAGGGAAGUAGGAAGGAGGAGAAAUUCUUGGCAGCCCCUGCCCACUGUGCUAUUACGGGGAGCAGCACUUUGGGCCAGGGACCCGGCUCACCGUACUAGGUAAGAAAGCCGCUCCCGGUGGGAAGGAGGGUGGGUUGCCCAGCCUGGACCAUCCCCAGGACCUUGGCCCUCAAGGAGUGGGUGCUGGCCCCUCCCUGGGCCCCUAUCGGGAGGGCGGGUUUGUGCCUGGGUCCCCAGAGCUGUGCAAACACGGGACAGCUGUACUUCGGGGCCGGUUCCAAGCUGACGGUGCUGGAGAGCCCCCUGAGGUGUGUCUACAGCACCCAUUCCUGCCCGUGAGCUGGACUGGAACCCUCAGCCGCUGGGAUGCAUUCGCCCUGCCCCCCGCCCCCCACGUCUCCCUCUGCCCCCCAGCCUGAAAUCUCGGACCUCACACGAAGAAUUCCGGCGUCAACAGCCCAGGUGGUGGAGGAGGUUCAGCUGUUGCAAACGUAUAUUAAAAUGCAGAUAUUUUGUUUGUGAGGUGAGGGAAGUUUCCAGGAGAAUCCUAAGCUCCUAGAUGUGGAAAGGAACCUCAAACAUCACCUGGUGAGGAGAAUGUUGAGGCCAGAGAGGGGAAGAAACUCAUGAUACUGGUACAUUAACCUGGAUUAUUUGAUAACAACAAGCCCCGUUUCUCCUUAGACUGUCAUUAAGCCGGAGCCAAUGGGGCUCAUCUAAACUCUGUCCAGGGCAAAUGCCAGAUUCCUCUGAUCAGCAGGGGUGGGCCCAAGACCAGACUUUAGAGCCAGAUAAACCUGGGCCCCAGUCACUGGCUCGCUGAUGAUCAGAUGACCUUGGGCAAAUGAAUCUGUGUGAAGUUCGGUCCCCUCUGUGGUACAAGGUCAUCAGCAAUACCUACCACUUACCGUUGCUGCGAGGGUGACCAACAGGAGAGCCUACGCGUAGAGUAUGCAGGGAAGGUGGAUUGUUAUAAUUUGGCCCUUCUCCUCUCCACCCUUCCUCUUGGUGGUCAGUGGGGCGUGAGGGGAAAGGGUGAGCCCAGUGCCCGAGGAGGGACAGGAUUUGGCAUGUGGAUCAUGGAGGGGAGGGCUGGGUAGGCGUGAGCGGUGGAUCAGGAACAGGAAAGAUAAACUUCACAGUGCUGCCUGAGGCCCAUCCAACCCACAAACAGAGCAUAUAUACAAACAGAAGCUCACUAGUACAUACACUUACACCCACAUAGGCAAGCUCACCCACACCCCACAGGGACUCACAAACAUGGAAGGAUAAACUGACCCUGCCCUCACACGGAGCUGUGUAGACGGGGGCUUCAGAGUGUCACGGCGUCCUGUUUGUCCUGCCUGUUGCGUCCAUAAACAUCGUGGGAAGCAUCACACAUGAUUCAAAGGACAUCACUAAUUUUGCAAGAAGGACUGAGUGGGGGCCAGAGGAGUACAUUCAGUAGUGCCCCAGGAGAGCUGGUCCAAUUUCAGAGCCAGGGUCUUUGAGACAAGAGUGACGACACCAGGCUGAGCAGAGAGAUUGAUGGAGCUGGGCCGUACAGAUGUGAGGGUGUUACCACCUCUGGUAAAGACCUAGAGACAUCGUCUGGGUUAGCAAGUAGGAGUUGCAGGGAGGGGAAGCUGGCAGGAUGGGAAGCCCGACCAGCUCAAAAUGAAAAUGCCAGUCUCUUGUUAAAAAUUAUUUAGAAUUUCAAGAUGGUGACAACGGGCCUUAAGCCAAGGGUGGGGCCUUUGUAAGCACAAGGUCCUGUACACGGGUCCUACACUUAUGAAGCUGGCCCCGGAAGUUAGGGCCCAUCCAGAGAAAUGGGAAGUGUCAGAAGGACAUUUUCUCCAUCUUCCAUUCUAAACUAGAAUCUCAUAAGGAGAUUUUUCAUUUUAACAGAAUUGCCAAAAAAUGAACAACAAAAAAAUCCGUGGAAAGCAAAGAAGGAUAAAAUGAAUGCACAGCAGACUCAGAAGAAGGGAGCCAGCAAGAGAGGGUGGUCUGCGCCCUCACCCCCGACUCUGCAGAGGAGAGGCUUUGCACAAAAACUGUAUCAAAGCAGCUGCUAGCAAGAAGUUGCUCUGAUGAUCUCAGAUGCUUAUUCAGGAAGCUGACUGGUAG